rnacentral:tRNA from 1 species
UUGGGAAUGGUCGGGAUAGCUCAGCUG